UGGUUCUGUCCUCACUUUGUGGGGUUUUCUAAACUAAACCUUAUGAAGUUUAGUUCAAACGAUGGCCCUAGCAUUGAUAUGCCAAAUUUCCAAAAACAUUUGUUAUUAAAUCAUUUGCCCGCAUUUACCCUUGUGUUUUCUCUAGGAGGACCAGGCGCUCCAGGUGGACCGGGUGCUCCAGGAGGCCCAGGCGCUCCAGGUGGACCAGGCGCUCCAGGAGGCCCAGGCGCUCCAGGAGGCCCAGGCGCUCCAGGAGGCCCAGGCGCUCCAGGAGGCCCAGGCGCUCCAGGAGGCCCAGGCGCUCCAGGUGGACCAGGUGCCCCAGGAGGCCCAGGUGCUCCAGGAGGCCCAGGCGCUCCGGGUGGACCAGGCGCUCCAGGAGGCCCAGGCGCUCCGGGUGGACCAGGUGGACCAGGCGCUCCGGGAGGCCCAGGCGCUCCAGGUGGACCAGGCGCUCCAGGAGGCCCAGGCUCUCC